rnacentral:sRNA from 1 species
UGCCUAAACCCACGGCUUUGCUGUGUGGCAUGGCGCAAAACCUUCGCAGUAGAAAGCUCCUAGUCAGAGCUCCUGCGAAGGUCGUAUGCCGAAAGGUAUACGGGUGGCGCGAGUCAUC